GUGAAUCAUCGAAUUUUUGAACGCAAAUUGCACUCUCCGGUUUUCCGGGAGAGUAUGCCUGUUUGAGGGUCAACCUAAAAAAAUCCACAUUGUUGCUGUUUUAUUGUUACCUUUGUUGGAGAUUGGUUAACUUAAAUUCCGGUUUAAGCCACUUUAAAAUUUUUUUUACCAUUCUAAGAAUGUUUCUAAGAUUUUUUCUGUACGUUUUAGGUAUUCAAUGGC
rnacentral:misc_RNA from 1 species